rnacentral:rRNA from 1 species
AUUGAACGCUGGCGGCAUGCUUUACACAUGCAAGUCGAACGGUAACAGGCCUUCGGGUGCUGCCGAGUGGCGAACGGGUGAGUAAUGCAUCGGAACGUACCCAGAGGUGGGGGAUAACGCAGCGAAAGCUGUGCUAAUACCGCAUGUGAUCUGAGGAUGAAAGCGGGGGACCGAGCAGCAAUGUUUGGCCUCGCGCCUUUGGAGCGGCCGAUGUCGGAUUAGCUAGUUGGUGGGGUAAAGGCCUACCAAGGCGACGAUCCGUAGCUGGUCUGAGAGGACGACCAGCCACACUGGGACUGAGACACGGCCCAGACGCCUACGGGAGGCAGCAGUGGGGAAUUUUGGACAAUGGGCGCAAGCCUGAUCCAGCAAUGCCGCGUGCGGGAAGAAGGCCUUCGGGUUGUAAACCGCUUUUGGCAGGAACGAAACGGUGUCCGCUAAUACCGGGCGCUAAUGACGGUACCUGCAGAAUAAGCACCGGCCAACUACGUG